rnacentral:rRNA from 1 species
AUGUUUCCAUUAGAGUUUAAGAGGAAGCAAUUUCCUAUAAGGCUUAGCUUUGCUAUGACAAUCAACAAGGCUCAAGGGCAAACCAUCGCGAUUGUUGGCGUGUACCUACCUAAUCCGGUGUUCUCUCAUGGUCAACUCUAUGUCGCGUUGUCUCGAGCCACCGCGAAGAGAAACAUAAAGAUCCUCAUUGAGAAGGAGAGAGAGAAGGAGAAGGAGGGCAAGAAGCAAAACAGUAAUCCAAAGAAGCGAAAAAGACCGACUGUGUCCUUACAGACCUCGAUGAAGAAUAUCGUCUAUAAGAAAGUCCUUACAGGCUGA